UUACAGCAUUAAAUGGAUACUUAAGCAUUAAGAUUCAAAAUGGGCGUUUUAUAACGAAAUAUUACAAGGAGUAGACUAGAAUGCUUAGAUCUGUAAUUCCCCAUAAAUUCGGAAAACUGAUCUUCAACUAAUGAAGAAUUGUCUAAAGCUGUUUUUAGGCAAAAAAUUUGGUGAAUUGAACCAUCUAAGUAACCAAAGUCCAAAAAUCAAACGAGGUGCUGUUAGUAGUGGCGAGCGAACGCAGCAAUAGACUUGAAAAUCGAAAAAUCUAUUUAAUAUUUACAAUAGCCGUAGUAUGGUAACCUAAAAUACAGGACAGCCCUGUAAAAUAGAAUUUAAGUUUUCGUUUAGUAAGGUAAACUAAGUCAUAGUUUGCCUGAAUAUUGGGGGACCACCCUCAAAGUCUAAAACUCUUAAUGACUGAUAGUGAAUAGUACCGUGAGGGAAAAGUGAAAAAGACUUUGCGAAAGUGAAAAGACUUUGAAAUUUAAUGCUAACAAUCUGUCGUAGUUUUUAAAAUGACGACGUACCUUUUGCAUAAGGGACCAACAAGUUUAUUUUAGUGGCGAGCUUAAGUAAUUAGAUACGUAGGCGCAAAGAAAUUAAGUUUUAAAAGGCUGUUAUUAGUCUCUAGAAUAAGACCCGAAACUAAGUGAUCUAGUCAUGAACUGGUUGAAGUUUAGGCGGCAACGCCUUUCGGAGGACCGAACCCGUGUAUGUGGAAAAAUACUGGGAUGAUUUGUGAUUAGGGGUGAAAGGCCAAUCAAACUGGGAGAUAGCUCGUACUCUCCGAAAUGCAUUUAGGUGCAGCGUUGCGUGGUUCUUGUUGGAGGUAGAGCACUGGAUGGUCUAGGGGGCUUAUCGGCUUACCGAAAUCAGCCAAACUCCGAAUGCUGGCAAGUGUAGCGUGGCAGUGAGACGGCGGGGGAUAAGCUUCGUCGUCGAGAGGGAAACAGCCCAGAUCAUCAGCUAAGGCCCCUAAGUGGUGACUCAGUGGGAAAGGAUGUGGAGUUGCGUAGACAACCAGGAGGUUGGCUUGGAAGCAGCCAUCCUUGAAAGAGUGCGUAAUAGCUCACUGGUCAAGUGAUUCCGCGCCGAUAAUGUAGCGGGGCUUAAGUUAUCCGCCGAAGCUGUGGCAACCUGUGUGGUUGGGUAGGGGAGCGUCGUGUCAGUGGUGAAGCUGCCGGGUGACUGUGUGGUGGAGUUGAUGCGAGUGAGAAUGCAGGCAUGAGUAGCGUGUGACGGGUGGGAAUCCCGUCCGCCGAUUAUCCAAGGGUUCCAGGGUCAAGUUUGUCUGCCCUGGGUGAGUCGGGUCCUAAGGCGAGGCCGACAGGCGUAGUCGAUGGGUAACCAGUUGAUAUUCUGGUACCGGCUUGUCACCGUCCGUGUCG
rnacentral:rRNA from 1 species